GCCAGUGCGAUGUAGUGGUUUGAAUGUUGGACUGGGACCUGGGAAACCAGGGUUCGAAUCCCUGUUUGGGCA